GUGGGGAAUAUUGGACAAUGGGCGAAAGCCUGAUCCAGCCAUGCCGCGUGAGUGACGAAGGUCUUCGGAUUGUAAAGCUCUUUUGGCGGGGACGAUAAUGACGGUACCCGCAGAAUAAGCCCCGGCUAACUUCGUGCCAGCAGCCGCGGUAAUACGAAGGGGGCUAGCGUUGUUCGGAAUUACUGGGCGUAAAGCGCACGUAGGCGGAUUGUUAAGUCAGGGGUGAAAUCCCGGGGCUCAACCUCGGAACUGCCUUUGAUACUGGCAAUCUUGAGUCCGGAAGAGGUGAGUGGAAUUCCUAGUGUAGAGGUGAAAUUCGUAGAUAUUAGGAAGAACACCAGUGGCGAAGGCGGCUCACUGGUCCGGUACUGACGCUGAGGUGCGAAAGCGUGGGGAGCAAACAGGAUUAGAAACCCCAGUAGUCC
rnacentral:rRNA from 1 species